CGAGGACGCUCCAAUAAUAUAGCCUUCAAAGUAAAGAUACCACCAAAGAUCAAAACACCAUUGCUUACUCAACAAUAUAACCAACAUCAAGUAAAAAUGUUAAUCAAUUUAACAUCACUCAUUGCUUACUCCAGAAUUACUAAAUCGAACAAUUUCUAAAUCAAUCAUUCUUAAGCAAAAUCAAUGAUUUGAUCAACAAUAAGAGAGAAAUUGAGUGAUUUGAAAAACGUA